UAUUAAGCCCCCGGCCAUAUUCAUUAAAAAACACAAUGAUCUAUGACUAUGGACCUAUUUGUUUUUAUAUACAAAGGUAUCAUGAUAUAAUUUUACAGAUAAAGUCCCCUCUUUUUCAAGCCCUCCCUCUCCAGGAAGCCCCCACCUCAAAGGUGCUUGAAAGAAUGAGCUGCCCGUGGGGCUUAAUAAAGAGAUUAUGGUAAAUGGUAAUACUGUACAUUAUAAUGAUUAGAUAAUAAAUUCAAACAAACAUACUUGGAUAUCAAUAAAUUCAAUGAAACAUACUUUAAUAAAUAAAUAAAUUAAUAAUAAAUUUAAUGAAAUAUAUUUG